AGGGUUUGAUCCUGGCUCAGGGUUAACGCUGGCGGCGUGCGUAACACAUGCAAGUCGAACGGGCCAUUACUCUUUGGAGUGAUGGUUAGUGGCGAACGGGUGAGUAAAAGGUAGGGACCUACCCCGAGGACAGAGAUAGCUACUGGAAACGGUAGGUAAACUCUGAUAAGCCCGAGAGGGGAAAGUGGAAGGCAGCCUUGGGAUGGACCUACUAUCCAUCAGGUAGUUGGUGAGGUAAAGGCUCACCAAGCCGAUGACGGAUAACCGGUGUGAGAGCAUGUACGGUCACAAGGGCACUGAGACACGGGCCCUACUCCUACGGGAGGCAGCAGUGGGGAAUAUUGGACAAUGGGCGAAAGCCUGAUCCAGCGACGCCGCGUGAAGGAAGAAGUCCUUCGGGAUGUAAACUUCUGAACUAAUCGAAUAAAAGGGUAGUGGACACACUACAGAAGAAGGUAGAUUAGGAAAAGUCCCGGCUAACUACGUGCCAGCAGCCGCGGUAAGACGUAGGGGGCGAGCGUUGCCCGGAAUCACUGGGUGUAAAGGGGACGUAGGCGGAUGAUCAAGUCAUCUGUGAAAAGAUUGCUCAACGAUUGGCUUGCGGAUGAAACUGGUCAUCUUGGGCGUAGCAGAGGUAGACGGAAUUACCUGAGUAGGGGUGAAAUCCGCAGAUACAGGUAAGAACGCCGGUGAAGAAGUUGGUCUACUAGGCUACAGCUGACGCUGAGGUCCGAAAGCCAGGGGAGCGAACCGGAUUAGAUACCCGGGUAGUCCUGGCUGUAAACGAUGCUCACUAGGUGUAGGGAGCGAAAGACUCUCUGUGCUGAAGCUAACGCGAUAAGUGAGCCACCUGGGGAGUACGUCCGCAAGGAUGAAACUCAAAGGAAUUGACGGGGGUCCGCACAAGCGGUGGAGCAUGUGGUUUAAUUCGAAGCUAACCGAAGAACCUUACCAGGGAUUGACAUGUAACUGAAGGUAGAGAAAUCUACUGGCCUGCCGUGAGGUAGGAGGUUACACAGGUGGUGCACGGUCGUCGUCAGCUCGUGCCGUGAGGUGUUGGGUUAAGUCCCACAACGAGCGCAACCCCUACAAUUAGUUACCAGCAAGUAAAGUUGGGGACACUAAUUGGACAGCCGCCGACGAGGCGGAGGAAGGAGGGGAUGACGUCAGAUAAGCGUGCCCCUUAUACUCUGGGCGACACACGUGCUACAAUGGGGAGGACAAAGGGAAGCGAAGCCGAGAGGUGGAGCGGAUCCGAAAAAACUCUCCGUAAUAUGGAUUGUAGGCUGAAACUCGCCUACAUGAAGCUGGAAUCGCUAGUAAUCGCAGGUCAGCCAAACUGCGGUGAAUACGUUCCCGGGCCUUGUACACACCGCCCGUCACGCCACCCGAGUUGGGAACACCUGAAGGCAGUACGGAAGGUACUGUUGAAGGUGGGCUUGGCGAGGGGGGCGAAGUCGUAACAAGGUAGGUGUACCGGAAGGUGCGCCUG
rnacentral:rRNA from 2 species